AUGUAUUUCCAAAAUCAAAUUCUAACUAAAAAAUCAUGGCAACAAUAAUUAAUAAACCUAAAUUUUAAUAUUAAUUGUCUUUUUUUUUUUAUUAUACAUUAUUAUUAUAGAUAUGUGUGUUUGAAAAUAAUUAAUUCCAUAUAUACAUUUCAUAAUUACAUACAUUAUACGGUAAUUAUUUUACUAAUUCCACAUAUACAUAGUAAAUAGUAUACAAAAAUUUUAUUAUACAUCAUCAUAAAAUUGUGAUCCAUAAAAAUAGUUUAUACAACAAUUUUAUUAUAUAUAAUCAUAAAAUUUUGAUCCAUAAAAAAUAAAAAUACAUUUGUGUGACUUUACAGGUCAUAUUCUAAAUAAAUAGAUGAUAUAACUAAGGGUUUACAUGAUAAAAUAAAACUACUCAAUAUAAACUAUAAGAUUAUUGUGUUUAGAAAUGUCAUAUUAAAAAUAAAUUAAACGGGUAACUUUUAAAAUAUAUAUUAUCACUUAUACAAAUAAAUAUUUAUUUAUAAAAAAAACUAACACCUGCGCGGGUGCGCGGGUCAAGCUCUAGUUGAUAAUUAAAAGAAAAAACCUAAAAAAAAGUAAGUGAAAUCUUUAUUUUCUACAAAUAUGUAUUACCCAAUUGUGUAGAACGAUUUUAAACAUAUAGAAAAUAAAAUACCUAAUGUAUCUAAAUUAAGGAUUGGCAUUGUGCUAAGCUUAAUCCAUGCGGUUUCCCCGAAUCUAGUACCGAAUUAGCUAAUCAAAGAUUAUUGGGCUUCUCAAAGAAAUUAAAUGACCUAAUAUUUGUGGUUAACCAUAAAACUAACCCCUUCUAUUGAAUUUUGUUUUGCAAUAUUCAUUUUAAAACUUUAAUUAAUCAUGAAAAUGCCAUUACCAAUUAGUUUUUGUGUCAAUCGAUUUGUGUUACUUUGGUGCUGUUUUUGGUGUUGUUCUGCCUCCCACAUUGUUAAGUUAUUAGAUUUUUUUUAUAGCUAUUGAUGUAGGUUAUAUGAAUUGCACUUGUGGCUUCACCGGGUUCUUUCAUUACUUUGGCACGAGAACUAAGAAGGGAUUCAUCUUUGCCUUUCCUCAAAUUAGGUUUGUGUUAACAUGAGCAAUACGUCCAUGGACAACAUGAGAGAAAAUGAACAUACCUGUAUAGCGUACACUCAGUUUCGGUAAAGAGUCGACGGAAAAAAAAUAUGCCCCAAUAAAACAAUUCUUUGGACGCUGGACCAAUGUUGCAGACACAAAAUGAAUAAGUGUUUGGUAGUCGAUAGGGGUCGAUGAUGGGUAAACCAUUGCGUCCGAGCAUUUGGAUCAGGUCCUCAACCGUAAACCUAGCAUACUGAGCAUCCGGUGGCAUAAAAUCUUGAUGGAUACCUCCCGGAACAGCACCAGGUGCUGGAGCAGCGGCAGGAGCUGGGGCAGCAUCCUCCUGAGGUGGCUGAGGCUGCGGGGGAUGCUGUGGAUACUGUGGAGGAGGCACAUACGGCGGAGGAGGAGGCAUAGACUGGUGAGUCGUAUGAGGUGAUCUUCCCUGAGAUUGGCUCUCAGGGAGAAAAUCUGGUUCGGUCGCAGUACCGGAGCUAGAAGCUGCCGGAUCUUUCUGCAUACCGAGCAAUGUAGUCCCAUAAGUGGGUUUCUCCCUAAGUCCCUUUCUACCACGAGCAGACGACAUCUCGAUAAAUCUUUUUAAAAAACAAAAAAAAUUAAAUUAAUAUUUCAAACAAUUUAUAUCCGUUAAUAAUAAACUAAUCUAAUUUCAUUUCUAAACUAACUCCAACCCUAAUCUAAUUCCAUCCUAACUAACCACCUAAACUAAACCAAAAAAUAAAUUGUGCCUAGAGAGAAGGCAGAGAGAUGCUAGGGACAGAGAGACUAACGAGCAACUGCGCGAGGGCGAUGGGACUCGUGUAUAUAUAGAGAAUCUGAAGUUGUCAUAAAUUAGAAGGAAAAUUACGACGAUGUUGGGACGACCCACGUUUCUAGAAAAGCGAUUUUGUCGUAAAGUAGAUGUAAUGUUACAACGAUUUUAGGACCACCCGCAUUUUUGAAUUUAUGAAAAUUUUGCAAUGACCCGUGUUUUGUGAAUUUACGACGAUUUAGGUUCGAUCCGUGUUUUAAAGAUCGUCGUAAUGUAGAAGUAAGGCGAUUUAGGUUAUUUUAUUGUGCAUCUUUAGAAUGUGAGAGUUGUGCAUAUUUAUAGAACUAGGUGUCGUCGUAGUAUAGAAGUAAAUUUACGACUACUUAGGGUCGACCCAUGUUUUUUAGACAUCUUCGUAAUUUAGAAGUAAUUUUACGACCACCUAGGGUCAAUUACAUAUUAUGUCGAUAUAGGAACGACCCGCCUUUGUGGAUUACGACAAAUUAGAGAAUACACGUGUUUAUACCCUAAAACCCCAAACCGCAAAUUUCUUAAGUUAUAUAUACAUUUUACACUUCUAAACCCCAAACUACAAAGUCUGAAAACUUGUUUAAACAAUGAGUCUAAUUAAUAAAUUUGAAAUACUGAAAUUCACUCGUCAUCAGGACAAUCACUCGACUCAUCACUAGGAUCAUCAUUUUCUUCAAAUUCAUCUUGGUUGCUGAUAUCACUCAAAUUACCAUAAAGAAUGAAUUACUCUCUCAAAUAAGAGGUUCAGUUGUAGUACUUAGGGAUCAAAUCCACAUGGAGCUAGGGAACCUAAUAAAUCUAAUCAGAUUAGUUAAGCUAGGUUGUUUAAUGAUUUAAAUGUAAAGUUGCAGGUUUGUGAACAAGUAAUUGGUCGAUUGAUUGAUUGGGGUUUUGGUACUUAAAUGGAAAUAGCUAGACUUAGGGUUUUUAUUCAGGAGGAUUAUAAUCCUACAGAUGCCUAAUAAGUUGUAUUCAUGAUAUUAUAGAGCUCAACACUUAAUAACAAACCAUUAGGCUUUCGCUUUCAAGGUCUGUCUAUUGACCAGUGUCAAUCGAUUAUUCUAUAGGAAUAUCGAUCGAUACACUUGUUGAAACGUCGACCGACAAUUCGAUUGGAAUAUCGAUCGGUGCUCUUGGUCAAGCGUUAAUCCGCGGAUUAAAUAUGCUCACUAAGAUUCCUAGAUGAGCUCUCGCCUAGUCUAGCAAUCUUAGCUCAGUUAGGAUGGAUUCAAGGUGAGAUGCAAGCUAUCGCUUAUGUUUACAACUCCUAGGGCAAGUUCUGGGUAGCUAAUCUAGAAACAUGCAUUAUUGACAAUCCUAAAGAUGAAUAUCACAACUUAGCAAUCUAUAGUUGGGGCUAAUCCCUCAUAACCUAUUUAAACCCAAAAUCUAACAAGAGACCUAUUAAGACAUGGCCAAGCAAUUCCUAAUAGCAAUAAGGAAUAAAAACUGUAUAGAUAAAUAGAUAGAUAUCAAUGUAGUUUCAAUCACAAAUCUCUUUGGAUCUUCUCUACAAUCUAUUAAAAAUCCUACAAAACUUUUGCUGUAAAAUCAGUAAAACAAGAAAGCACACUUUGCCUUUUACAUGUUGGCAAAGCUUAUAUAAUUAGAUUAAAACCCGUCAGGGAUAGUCUUGUAAAUAGGUGAAGACUGACUUGGUCUCUAAGUCGGCUGUGACCAAAUGAGAUUUCUGUGCGCUUUGCUGUCGAUCGAUGUCACGAUGUGAACAUCGAUCGAUUAUUCUUCCUCACUGUCGACCGAUGGUCGUGCUCAAUGGUCAUCUCGGGUGCUUACUCCAAAUAUCUCCAAAAUGCUCCAAAAUCAUCACUUUCCUCCAAAUCACUCAUGAUCAUAUAAAUAUGCUAAAUAGAAUCUAUAAUAUAAUAAUUCAUAGUUAAAACACUUAUAAACCAUGGGUAAAAGUGGAUCAAAUCCAUGGUCUAUCAGUUGCAUUGUUCCUUAUAUCUUCUGGAAGAUCUUCAUAUACCGGGAUUUGUAAUCAACAAGUAAGAUUUUUUCUAUAGGUUGUUAAGGUACUUCCACAACAUUCACGACAUCUUUUUGAAAAGGCGGUUGGUCAUCACCGAUUACUCGACCCCGAGGUAUAACUUUUAUAGUAGCUAACUAAGAUAUUCCAGUUUGUCUGAUCCUUGGAAUAAAACAAACUUGAUAUGCUUGAGAUACCAAUAUGUAGGGUUCAAAUUUAUUGUACCUCUGUGGAGCGUUGAUAUCCAAAACUCCAAACUUUCUAUACCAAACACCUCUAUUGACGGUGGAAUCGAACCAGUCACAUUUGAAGAAGACACAUUUGAUCUUCACCAAACUGGGAAAUUUCACUUCAAUGAUCUCUUGUAAAAUCCCAUAGAAAUAUGUUUCAUCUUUCACACAUAUCCCAUAGUUCACCGUUGGUCGCCGACUUCCAUACUCGUAAGUGUGUAAAGUGUAGCCUCGUGUGAAAUACAUAGAUGGUGUUGUGACCUUGGAGACCAACCUUAUAUCAAUUCGUGAAACAACGUAGGAUAAAGUGCAUCGUCACAAUCAAACUGUAAUAAUGUAUAACAUUAUUAAUAUUUAAUUUAAAUUUAAAUUACUAACAUAAUUAAUUAUAUAUGAUUUAUACCUGCGUUUUAAACCACUGUACAAAGUGUUGUUCUUUCCUUUUGCUUAGAUCAUUUGUUGAUAUUCCUGGUAUAGCUUAUUUAACCUGGGCAACAAACUCGUUGUUUUGCAAAAGAUCAUUAAAUUGAAAUAAUUAUAUAAUUGAUAAAUUAAAUUUCAUACCGGAAAUAAUUACCUUUCAAAUGAAUGCAUCUCCUCACAAUUCAGGAGUAUGUAUGUGUGGGCACUGUGAGCGUGUUUUGUACUUGAC